rnacentral:rRNA from 1 species
UCUCCUGGAAACGGGUGGUAAUGCCGGAUGUUCCACAUGAGCGCAUGCGAGUGUGGGAAAGGCUUUUUGCGGCAUGGGAUGGGGUCGCGUCCUAUCAGCUUGUUGGUGGGGUAACGGCCUACCAAGGCGUUGACGGGUAGCCGGCCUGAGAGGGCGACCGGCCACAUUGGGACUGAGAUACGGCCCAGACUCCUACGGGAGGCAGCAGUGGGGAAUAUUGCACAAUGGGCGCAAGCCUGAUGCAGCGACGCCGCGUGCGGGAUGGAGGCCUUCGGGUUGUAAACCGCUUUUGUUCAAGGGCAAGGCACGGUUUCGGCCGUGUUGAGUGGAUUGUUCGAAUAAGCACCGGCUAACUACGUGCCAGCAGCCGCGGUAAUACGUAGGGUGCAAGCGUUAUCCGGAUUUAUUGGGCGUAAAGGGCUCGUAGGCGGUUCGUCGCGUCCGGUGUGAAAGUCCAUCGCUUAACGGUGGAUCCGCGCCGGGUACGGGCGGGCUUGAGUGCGGUAGGGGAGACUGGAAUUCCCGGUGUAACGGUGGGAAUGUGUAGAUAUCGGGAAGAACACCA